rnacentral:rRNA from 1 species
GUAACAAGGUCUCCGUUGGUGAACCAGCGGAGGGAUCAUUAACGAGUUCCAUUCUCCUUAAUACACCCGUGAACGUUUCUUCAACUGUUCGUUGCUUCGGCGGGCGGCCCCGGGGAGGGGCCGCAGCCCGCAAGGGCGCCCGCCGGCGGCAGCGCAGCACAACUCUUGCGAUUUAGGCCCCUCUGAGAAGACACUAAAUGAGUCAAAACUUUCAACAACGGAUCUCUUGGUUCUGGCAUCGAUGAAGAACGCAGCGAAAUGCGAUAAGUAAUGUGAAUUGCAGAACUCAGCGAAUCAUCGAAUCUUUGAACGCACAUUGCGCCCGCCGGCAUUCCGGCGGGCAUGCCUGUUCGAGCGUCAUUUCAACCCUCGAGCCCUGCUCGGUGUUGGGGCCCCGCGGCCGCCGCGGGCCCUGAAAAGAAGUGGCGGGCGCGCCUGGACCCGUAGCGCAGUAAUACACCUCGCUCGCGGCGUCCCGGCGCGUGCCGGCCGUAAAACCCCUUUAUCUCAAGGUUGACCUCGGAUCAGGUAGGAAUACCCGCUGAACUUAAGCAUAUCAA